CGCCCCAAGCCUUCUGGCCGAG
rnacentral:siRNA from 1 species